CUGCUGCCUCCCGUAGGAGUUUGGACCGUGUCUCAGUUCCAAUGUGGGGGACCUUCCUCUCAGAACCCCUACGCAUCGUCGGCUUGGUGGGCCGUUGCCCCACCAACUACCUAAUGCGCCGCAUGCCCAUCCGUGACCGGGGUCGCCCCCUUUGGCCGGCAGGGGAUGUCCCCUCCCGGCAUUAUGUUGUAUUAGGCGGGAUUUCUCCCGGUUAUCCAUCUGUCGACCGGCCGUAGGGUUUCGCCUAAGUUACCGGUUGUUUAACCUCCCGAACCCCGGUUGGCCCGGGUCCCCGGGUUCCCGGCCCCGGGGCCGGGA
rnacentral:rRNA from 1 species